CUGGCAUUGAAGUAGACACAUUUCAAGCCAGCUUGCUGUUUGAUGAAGCAGUUUCAGGAUCUACGAACCAUUGUAUCACAGAAAGAUAUUUACAAUAUUGUGAUUGGGAUCAACUUUGAUCAAUUGAGGAUACCAUAGAAAAGCUAUAAUUGCAUUUAUGAAAACAGAAAAUUAAAAUGGAAGGCAUGGCCAACAUUUGUGGCCUGGCCCUAACUACUUUUGAGAAGGCGGUGAUGAGUCACGACCUUGAACAAGGCCUACACUCUGUGUGAUUACAUCUGAAGUACUGCUUGGAAGGAAGUUUCAGGAUUUUGACCCAGUGUUUGCAAUGUUGUCGGAUUAUACUGGGAUGAAAAAACGCACCAUGUUUGCUGUUUUGAAUGAGUGGAAAGAUGAUAAGAUUGAGAAGACAAAAUGUAUUCUUGCUUUGUACGCUCUGAAAAAUAUAGUCAAAAACAUCGACCCAUCGAUGAAAUUUAAAAGGCAAAAUACUGCAGAGGCUGGAAAUCUGAAAUGUAAACAGAAAAUGCUGGGAACACUGACUAGGUCAGGCAGCAUCUGUAAAGACAUAUUUCAGGUCCAGGAGAACUAUUCUUCAGAACCAGUAGUUCCCCUCCUUGAGACAAAAUGUUCAUUCUGUUUCUCCCUUUGACAGAUGCUAUCGAACUGUUGUGAAUCGUCAGAAUUUCCCAGUAUUAUUUAACUUAAAGAUGGUUGGUAUGUGAAGUCCUGAUGUAUAAGUACUCUGUUUAUUCUUGUUUGAUAAAGAUCAACAGUGGCUCCAGUAACAGAGUGAGUGAACAUUGAAAAAGACUGUUCAACCCAUCUUCAAAGAUCCAUUCAAUCAACUCCACUCCCAAUGCCUCUUCCCCAUAACCUUGCAUAUGUUUGUUUUCCAAAUAUCUAUCAAAUUCACAUGUUGAACGUUCCUCAUGAACCUGCUUCAUGCACUGCAUUCCAGAUCACAAUAGCUCAUUAUGUAAAGAAAACAAAUACUCUCA